rnacentral:rRNA from 1 species
AUUGAACGCUGGCGGCAUGCCUUACACAUGCAAGUCGAACGGCAGCACGGGAGCAAUCCUGGUGGCGAGUGGCGAACGGGUGAGUAAUAUAUCGGAACGUGCCCAGUCGUGGGGAUAACGUAGCGAAAGCUACGCUAAUACCGCAUACGAUCUAUGGAUGAAAGCGGGGGAUCGCAAGACCUCGCGCGAUUGGAGCGGCCGAUAUCAGAUUAGGUAGUUGGUGAGGUAAAGGCUCGCCAAGCCGACGAUCUGUAGCUGGUCUGAGAGGACGACCAGCCACACUGGGACUGAGACACGGCCCAGACUCCUACGGGAGGCAGCAGUGGGAAUUUUGGACAAUGGGCGCAAGCCUGAUCCAGCAAUGCCGCGUGCAGGAUGAAGGCCUUGG